GGCAUGGUGGCUCAGUGGUAUAGAGCGCCCGCCUCAUGAAAGGGAGGUGGGGGUUCGAACCCCGGCCGAGUCA
rnacentral:tRNA from 1 species